UAGCUGCGAUAAGUGGUGUGAAUUGCAGAAUUCUGUGAAACACUAAAUUCUUGAACGCAACCUGCACCUGCGAGCAAUCGCAGGUACGCCUAAUUGAGUGCGGCAUAUCCUUCUCUCGACUCAGCCUCUGUGCUUGUCGAGGUAUUGGGGUUCGAUCUGGUGUGCAUUAGCUCACUCGAUUGGUUCUCUUAAAUAUGUAUGACAAUACCAAUUCUGGUUGGUGAAUCGCCUUGUCUGUUGAUUGAUGUUGGUUUUUUGCGGUGGCAGAGGCUCAACUGGCUUGGUUUGUUCCCUUCCUGUUGGAUUUUGUCCACCCGGUUAAAUUUUUUUAACUAUACAUAAAGCUGCCUCAGUUUAGGUGAGACAACCCCCUGAACUUAA
rnacentral:misc_RNA from 1 species